rnacentral:snoRNA from 1 species
AUUGAUGUUAGAACCACACUUGGGUUUUGGCUAUUUCCUUAAUGUGCUAGAGCCCUUAAACAAUAAAUGCUGACAUUACUUAAUGGCUGUUGUCUUCAGGGCACAGUCAGUCACCAGGUUGACAUGC